rnacentral:rRNA from 1 species
UACGGGGGGGGCAAGCGUUGUUCGGAAUUACUGGGCGUAAAGAGCUCGUAGGCGGUCUGUCGCGUCGGUCGUGAAAACUUGGGGCUUAACCCUGAGCUUGCGGUAGAUACGGGCAUGACUGGAGUUCGGCAGGGGAGACUGGAAUUCCUGGUGUAGCGGUGAAAUGCGCAGAUAUCAGGAGGAACACCGGUGGCGAAAGCGGCGCGCUGGACCCCUUCUGACGCUGAGGCGCGAAAGCCAGGGGAGCAAACGGG